UAUAUAUCUAUAUUUAUUGAUGAAUAUGGAUGUUGAUAAGGAUAUUAGUUGGAUAUAAACUUCAUAGAAAUAUUUAUUUAAAUGGAUACGGAUACAGAUUGGAUAUUGAAAGUAUGGAUUAAAUAAGGAUAUAUGUCGGAUAGUUUAACUUUAUGCCCACCAAAUCAAAGAUAUCACUAAGUGGAAGGUAACUUAAGUCAAUACCAUGUUAAUACGGUCACUUAUUUUCCUAAAAUUUCAUGAAUGUUGUAUAUGAUAAAAUAUGAUUAUAAGCAAAACUAGAAAUCCAGAUAUGGAUUGGAUAAUUGUCUAUCCAUAUCCAUAUCCAUUUUUUAUGGUGGAUUUGGAUAUCAAUCAGAUGCUCAAAUUUGUACACCAUAUCUAGAUAGAUUCAAAUACGGAAAACGAAUUCAAAUGGAUAUUACCUCUCCACUUUACCCCUUAGCUGUAAUUUGCUGUAUACAGUCAUGAGGAAUUUCUUAAAAGAUCAAUUAGAAUCUUAGUGGAUUUUAAGGGAGUAUUUAGUUUAUCGAAUUAAUUUUCUUUUGUUUUAAUGUCAUCUUCAUUCCUUUUUUUUUGUCCUAUCCUCGGUGAGACUUAGGCAAGAUGCAAGAGAUACUAUAUGAUCUUGCUGUAUGUCAUCUUUUUAACUUUCGGAGUCUUUUCUAACUAGUAGUUUGCUCUUCUGUCCUAUGUAGGUGAGAGGCUAGCUACCUUGCAAAUCUUGAGUCAGAGUAAAAUAUAUUUUCAAAACUUUAUCUACAAGUUCUCUCUUUUUCCUCCUCUCUUCUCUCUUUGUAAUCUCUAUCUGUCUGUCUUCUUCUUCUUCAUGCUCCUUCCUCAUUAUUUUUAGUAGCAUAUCUGAAAUUUGGCUCCAUACAGAUUUAGCCCUCCAACAGCAGUUCAUAAACCCUUUAAACUUCUCUAUUAGACUCUCUAGACAGGCUCAAAUCAAUCUAACCCUGAAACUUCUCCUCUCUUUAAUUUCUUUCUGUCCUUUCCUGUGAUCUGAUUUGCUCACAGCAGCAAUUGCAGAUGUUUUUGUGCCAUGUCAUGCAGCGUAAGAAAAAAAUAAAAAAGCAAACACUUGAAUUUGUUAUUUUUCUUCACUGUACGCCAUCAGUUUAUAAUUCACUACCUUAACCUCUCUACAGACUGACGACAAGCUUUCAGAUGACUACAUAGAAGCAGUAAAAAUUGAAUUUAAAUCCUGGAACUAGCAGAGCAUCUGACAUGUUACUUGCAUAUCGCCUGACAAUGCAUUCAAAGCAGUGACUUAUGGAUGUAGCUUUGUGGUGUCACCUCUGAGCAUAGUUGCAUGUUUUGUUUUUUACUGGUGAGAUUUCAUUUUCUAUAUACUGCCAUACAAGUUUCCUUCACCACUUAGAGAGUUUGAUGUCCUUACUGCUUUGCCGAUUUCAUCCUUUGGCAAAACUCAAUCACCUUAGAUUUUUCAUUAAUUAGGGAUUAUUUGUUUACAUAUCUAUUUUAGAAAGCAAGAGUUUUGAAUUUUGGAAUAUUCCCAGCUAGAUCUUGUUGGUCUUUUUCCCCCAAAAUAUUAAUGGUCUUUUCUCCUAUUGACACAUUUCCUUUUGUUGUGUAAGAUUUUUCUCCUACUAUAAAUAGUGAUUAAUAUUUUUACCUCUCUCUUCUUCAUUUGUCAUACUGAUUUCCAUUCCUAAAAAUAAUUCAAUGAAUGCUUACUAAAUAUUAAGGCAUCUCUAAGAAAAAAACCAUGAUAGCAUUCAUUUAUAUCCAAAUGUGUUUAACUCCUCUUAACUUUAUCCAGUCCCCAUUCAGAUGAAUUUUGUAUGCAUGGGUUAAAAAUAAUUUUGACCACUGAUUUUAAUUGCACAAAGUGUCAAAUGGAAUAAAUACAUAAAUUUUAUUUAACUUUUUUAUGUUAUUUAAUUAUUUUUUCUGUGGUGUGCAUUACACGUGCUUUUAUGCUUCUACUAUCUGAAUAGGCUCUACUCUUUUAACAUCUUUUCACAUUUGUCUUUUAUUUUUUUAUUUUUUUAGUUAAGGUGGAAAUGCCACCAUUUGAAUCUGGGAACUCUCCCAAGUGCAAACACUAAUGAGAGGGGUGCCAACCAACAAAGCCAACUCUAGACUGCAGACCAAUUAGCACUCACAAGGUGACUGCCGGAUCGGCUUCUACCAUAUCAAGCAUGAUGUUGGGCCAUGAACUGAAGAUGCAGGAACAUAAAAUGGCUUCUGAAGGUUGGAGGUACGAGGAUAUUCAGGUAAAUUAUCUUAAAAUGCAGAGGAAUAAAGUUAGAAAUGACUAUAUAGCAUGGAUUUGACUGUUGGUCUGCAUUGCUCAGCUUGCAUGAUAUGUAAAAGUUGCCAGCCUAGCAUGCGACAUACACACAAUAGUAGUUGUGUGCCAAUGCUAGGUGGGCUGUACUAGUUGUAGGGAUCUCUACGUGAAAAUACUGCACGAAGUAAAUUAUGGUCCUUUUGUUGAACUGAGAAACAAGUGUAAUAUAUGAUAUAUAUCAUCUCAUUCAUAUAUAGUAUUAGGAGACAUGAAAUAAAAAUAACAAAAGGAAAUAUCUAGAACAUUAAACUAACAAUUUCUUUUAUUACUUGGAACCAUCAGAAACUAAAAUGAGUUUGAUGGUGUUAAGAGUAAAUUUCUAUAUUGAUUUUGUAACAUCUUCUCCAAGCGCAAUCCAAAUCUAUUAAAAAAUCGACCAAGGUGUCCUUAUCCAGCUAAGAGAACCUUUAGUUGUGCUUCUCUGUGCGCUUCCACAUGCGCAUGUAUGUGCAUGCCUGGGAUAAUUGUCUCCUUGGCAUCACACCACCAACGCAAAAUACUUAAUCCUUGCUGUAUAGAAGGCUAGGAGAACCAUCUAAUGUAGCUUCAUCAUGUGUGUGAAGUUGAGGAUGGGUCUAGGAUCCAGGUUCUUGAGUUUAGGAGGUUGAAUGAACAGAAUAUGAAGACACAUUUCCUCUAAUUGGUUCUGUCCUUGGAAUUAAUAAUGAAGCGAGAUCAGUUAAAUCGAGCUUUAAACUAUAGGAUAGAGUAUGCCAUAUUUGUAAAUGCUCACCUAAAAUAGUGGCUGCAAAUUAUAUAUGACUUUUAAGUUUGGUGUGUAUAUUAUGGGAUUUCUCAGUGGACCAUAGAAGAUACACACAAACCACUCACUCUACUAAAAUUGUGCAGGGAAUAAUAUUUCGUCGGAAUGAAAAGGAGGAGAAUUGGGAAAACUGAUUGAUGGACAUUGUAGUGCCUAAAGAGAGAGUAAAAGAACCAUCAGCAAUGGUCCUUCUGUGAAGGCCGUUAGAAAAGACAGGAAUUUUUACUUUGUAUGUCAUGAUCAUUCUAGGACAAUUAUUCACCUUGAUAAGUUUCCUUGUUAAAGUGAGGAUUGAGGAGCUUUGGUGACGUAGGAUAACAAAUAAACCUGGUCAAUGUAUUCAAGAUGCAUGGAGAUUUUAGAAGACAUAAUUUAGAGUUUUAGCAAAACAAAAGGGGUAUAGGGAAGCAGAAGGAAGAGCUCUAUGAAUCAACAAAUCUUCUAAUCCAGCUUACAUGAUAAUCAUAGAUAAGGUUGUAAGCUUUUAUACGUAUCUGAUGAAAAGCUAGUCCAUAUGUGUGCUGCAAUGGUAACUCAAUUCUUUCGUAGGUAGGAUAGGCAGCUGCAAUUUGUAUCUCUUGUAAAAAUCUUCAGCACUGAAUAAUGAGAGACUGAAGAUCAGCAAGAGAGUAUAUGCCAUAAAAGGUUUUUUUUUUUUUUUUCUAGGAUACGGCCAUUGUGAGAACAGGCCAUGAAUAGGCCAUAUUGGGCUGAAGUUGGCAGGCCCAACCGACUUCAGCCCGUGGCCAAGGAGGAACCAAAACAGAGGCUCCUUCUUCCUCGAGGAAGAUAAGGCCGCUACUCCUUUUUAGGAAUUAUUAUUGUUUUGAUAUGAUCUGUAGCCUUGUAUGCUUGUAUGGUCUAUUAUACAGGUAUGCGGUGCCUAUUACGCUCUAAGUUCGGGGCGUAACAGCCAUAGGAUAUGAACAAUGAGCUGAUGACAGGAGAAACCUCUACCAUUGAGUGGUAAUGCAGUUUCAGCUCUUGCAACUAAGGAGCAACUUUGCAGAAUUUUGUUGGACUCAGGAAAAAGAAGAUUAUACAAAGAGGAUACGAAGACAUGCUUGCUGCUAAAAAUUGCAUCAUCUUUAAUGGCCAACAUAGUGUAUCUACUAUGUAAGCAUUGCGGUGUUGCUGUAACGAUUCGGAGAUUGUUUCAAUAAAGCCAAUCCAUAAGAACAUUUGAUUUCAAUGAUCCUUCAUCUAGAAUCAGGAUUUAGGUGAUUGAAAGGUUCAUCACUACCUAGGGUGGGAGCACGGUGUCGGCACGAAAUCAGCCAUCUAAAAUGGGACCAAUGAAGGCUGAGAUUAGAGCAUGGAAGCAUCCAGAUAUUGCUGGUUAUGGCCUUUUGGGAGCAGUUCUUGUUUGAGUGUUGGUUGGGGUGGAGACCAUGAGGGGCCAUUAACUCUGUUGUCUCUGUUGUUUCCUUUGAGGUAAACACUGUGGUUGUGGGUCCUUUUUUUUUUUUUUCUUUUCAAAACCUACAUCGGUUUCUUUAUGGGAGAGAGGUGGGAAGCCCAGGCCAGGCCAAGCUUUACCCAGAGGUCAAGCAGUAAGACGGGGCCCCGCACAUGUGUUCUACCCUGGAUGCUCGCUUACUCCAGAGUUCGUAAAUCCGAUUGACUGCUUACUUUUACUGAAGCCCCAUCUCUUCCCCGGGCGGCAAGUGCAAGCCCCCUUGUCCAUUGUAUUUGUUCUCAACUAAGAAUAUAAUAUAUUCAGAUGUCAGUAGCAGAAACAUGUAGAGAUGUUUAAGCUA